ACAGAAAGCAGGAAGGAAAGAAAACAGAAAGAGAACAAAAAACAGUCGAGGUCCUCCCCCGGCCUUUUACUUUUCCGUCAUCAUUCUCUUGAUUCCUUUUUUUUUUCUUUUCU
rnacentral:ribozyme from 11 species